rnacentral:snRNA from 1 species
GUGCUCGCUUCGGCAGCACAUAUGCUAAAAUUGGAAUAACACAGAGAAUAUUAGCAUGGUCCCUGCACAAGGAUGACACACAAAUUCAUUAAUCUUUCCAUAUUUAA